rnacentral:tRNA from 1 species
GCCUGGGUGGUUCAGUCGGUUGGGUGUCUGACUUCGGCUCAGGUCAUGAUCUCGCAGUUCGUGGGUUCGAGCCCCGCAUUGGGCU